UAAGGAAUAUUGGUCAAUGGAGGCAACUCUGAACCAGCCAUGCCGCUUGCAGGAAGACGGCCCUCUGGGUUGUAAACUUCUUUUAUUCGGGAAUAAACCUGCCUACGUGUAAGUAGCUGAAUGUACCUAAUGAAUAAGGAUCGGCUAACUCCGUGCCAGCAGCCGCGGUAAUACGUAGGAUCCAAGCGUUAUUCGGAUUUAUUGGGUUUAAAGGGUGCGUAGGCGGCUUAUUAAGUCAGGGGUGAAAGACGGUGGCUCAACCAUCGCAGUGCCCUUGAUACUGAUGAGCUUGAGUGAACUAGAGGUAGGCGGAAUGUGAAAAGUAGCGGUGAAAUGCAUAGAUAUGUCACAGAACACCGAUUGCGAAGGCAGCUUACUAUGGUUUUAUUGACGCUGAGGCACGAAAGCGUGGGGAUCAAACA
rnacentral:rRNA from 1 species